rnacentral:lncRNA from 1 species
UGGCUUUUGGCUGCAGAGAGAGUUGGGUGUUUUGUUGUCCCCUGUCACUGUGGGAGGCACCUCUAGCUCCGUGCUUAUGCAACCUGCCCACUUCCCAUGAAGCCGGAAGCUCCUGCCGGAGCCCGGAGCUGGGAUGGCGCCUGAGCUCGCAGGCCCUAGCGGCUUCCCUGGAGAAUCGGGCUGGGGAUCCUCUUACCCUUCCACAGCCCAGCACAGAAAUGACUUAGCAGUUCCGAGACUCCCUUGGAUUACAGAGGAAGGGUGUUAACUGCGGUUUCCCUUAUCUUUAAAUAACAACUUCCUGUAUAAGCCUGGCGUGAAGAUGGCGCCAGGCAAACCCCAGCUGGUGCCACCACAACCAGACAAGGCAGGGACAAGGGGGCUGGGCAGCGCCCCUGCGUGUGGAGCACGCCUUCCUGCAGGUGGCCCCGUUUUGUGGAUUUGUACAAGAAGAUGCUGGAUGUCAGAGAAGACUGGAGAGGAGAACCUGUAGAAGCUGCCACUGCCCAGGAGGAGCCCAGAAGACAUUCCUGCUGGACUUGGUGAUCAACACAUUGGAGUCACCCAACUUGCCAAGUGGUCUUGAUAAGUAAGAUUGGAGUAGUCAGAUGGGAAAACCAUGUUCUUGCAACUCCUUCUCACUACCCAGGGCCCACUGAGUCUACAAGACCUUCUUGUCCACUCCAUUGUUCCAUUCACAGGGAUAUGGAGUUAGACACAUGCUCUAGCAGGUGUGUGCUCCCUCCCAUCCAAGUACUAUCCAGGCCCGACCCUGCUUAGCCUCUGAGAUCAGGCAUAUUCAGGGUGGCAUGACAUAGACCUGAAGGUUCAUUCCCUAUCAGAAGACUGUUUUAUACAAGGCUCAGGACAGAGAAUUCUUUGAGAUUAUGGGAUAACUUGUUACUAUAAGCCAUUGAUCUAAGUCAAGAGAAAAUAUAUGUUAGGGAAGCAAUAAUUUGAAGAACAUCAGAUAUCCCCGGGUACUGCAAAGUUCAAUCCAACAAAUAUUUGAGUAGACGGCAUCUUGCUAGGCAUGUGGUAAGUUAGCAAUAUGAUAUGUGAGACUAUAAACAACAUAAA